rnacentral:rRNA from 1 species
AAGUGUAAGCUCAGGCCUACAUAUGGUUAAGCCGCGGAAAGCUCAUUACAACAGCCAUUGUUCACUUGAUCUUGACUAUCCUACUUGGAUAACUGUGGUAAUUCUAGAGCUAAUACAUGCAACAAUACUCUAGUAGCUUUCGGGCGAAUGAGUGCAAUUAUUAGAACAAAACCAAUCGGGCUUCGGCCUGUAUAUUUGGUGGAUCUGAAUAACCUCGCUGAUCGCACAGUCUUCGUACUGGCGACAUAUCUUUCAAGUGUCUGUCCUAUCAGCUUUCGAUGGUAGUCUAUGUGUCUACCAUGGCUGUAACGGGUAACGGAGAAUCAGGGUUCGACUCCGGAGAGGGAGCCUGAGAAACGGCUACCACAUCCAAGGAAGGCAGCAGGCGCGCAAAUUACCCACUCUCGGCACGAGGAGGUAGUGACGAAAAAUAACAAGGCAGUUCUCUAAGAGGCCUGCUAUUGGAAUGGGUACAAUUUAAACCCUUUAACGAGGACCUAUGAGAGGGCAAGUCUGGUGCCAGCAGCCGCGGUAAUUCCAGCUCUCAAGGUGUAUAUCGCCAUUGCUGCGGUUAAAAAGCUCGUAGUUGGAUCUAUGGCUGUGGAACUGGUCGGCCCAAGUGGUUCGAACUGGUCUCCUAGCCUAUAUUUGCUGGUCUAUCCUUGAUGCUCUUAACCGGGUGUCCUGGGUGGCUAGCGAGUUUACUUUGAAAAAAUUAGAGUGCUCAAGACAGGCUUGAAUGCCUGAAUAGUGGUGCAUGGAAUAAUAGAAUAGGACCUCGGUCCAUUUUAUUGGUUUUGGUCCCGAGAUAAUGGUUAAGAGGGACAGACGGGGGCAUCCGUAUCGCUGCGCUAGAGGUGAAAUUCUUGGACCGUAGCGWGACGAACUACUGCGAAAGCAUUUGCCAAGAAUGUCUUCAUUAAUCAAGAACGAAAGUCAGAGGUUCGAAGGCGAUCAGAUACCGCCCUAGUUCUGACCGUAAACGAUGCCAACCAGCGAUCCGCCAGUGGUACUCUGCCCUGGUGGGGAGCUUCCCGGAAACGAAAGUCUUCCGGUUCCGGGGGAAGUAUGGUUGCAAAGCUGAAACUUAAAGGAAUUGACGGAAGGGCACCACCAGGAGUGGAGCCUGCGGCUUAAUUUGACUCAACACGGGGAACCCUACCCGGCCCGGACACCGUAAGGAUUGACAGAUUGAGAGCUCUUUCUUGAUUCGGUGGUUGGUGGUGCAUAGCCGUUCUUAGUUGGUGGAGCGAUUUGUCUGGUUUAUUCCGAUAACGAACGAGACUCCAACCUACUAACUAGUGGCUGUAUCKCUUUGUGCAGUCUACUUCUUAGAGGGAUAAGUGGUGUUCAGCCACAUGAAAAGGAGCAAUAACAGGUCUGUGAUGCCCUUAGAUGUCCGGGGCUGCACGCGCGCUACACUGGAGGAAUCAACGUGCAGUGCCAUUGUCGAAAGACACUGGUAAACAGGUGAAAAUCCUCCGUGAUCGGGAUCGGGAAUUGCAAUUAUUUCCCUUGAACGAGGAAUUCCCAGUAAGUGCGAGUCAUCAGCUCGCUCUGAUUACGUCCCUGCCCUUUGUACACACCGCCCGUCGCUGCCUGGGACUGGWCCGUUUCGAGAAAGGCGGGGACUGCCGCUGUCGGGGCUUUCGGGCUCUGGCAUGUGGUGGGAACCGCUCUAAUCGCAKUGGUCUGAACCGGGC